GACGUAGGUGGCGAACGUUAUCCGGAAUCAUUGGGCGUAAAGGGUGCGUAGAUGGCAUGAUAAGUUAUUAGUGGGAAACCGAGGCUCAACCUCGUGGAAGCUAGUAAUACUGUUUUGCUUGAGUGCAGAAGAGGUUAACGGAACUCCAUGUGGAGCGGUAAAAUGCGUAGAUAUAUGGAAGAACAUCAAUAACGGCGAAGGCAGUUAACUAUUCUGUUACUGACAUUGAGGCACGAAAGCGUGGGGAGCGAACAGG
rnacentral:rRNA from 1 species